rnacentral:rRNA from 1 species
AACGAACGCUGGCGGCAUGCCUAACACAUGCAAGUCGAACGAAGGCUUCGGCCUUAGUGGCGCACGGGUGCGUAACGCGUGGGAAUCUGCCCUUUGGUUCGGAAUAACAGCUGGAAACGGCUGCUAAUACCGGAUGAUGACGAAAGUCCAAAGAUUUAUCGCCAGAGGAUGAGCCCGCGUUGGAUUAGGUAGUUGGUGGGGUAAAGGCCUACCAAGCCGACGAUCCAUAGCCGGUCUGAGAGGAUGAUCAGCCACACUGGGACUGAGACACGGCCCAGACUCCUACGGGAGGCAGCAGUGGGGAAUAUUGGACAAUGGGCGCAAGCCUGAUCCAGCAAUGCCGCGUGAGUGAUGAAGGCCCUAGGGUUGUAUAGCUCUUUUACCCGGGAAGAUAAUGACUGUACCGGGAGAAUAAGCCCCGGCUAACUCCGUG